UAGAAGUAACGCUUAUUAGCCUCAUGCUUCUAGAGUCAGGGCGUAUCCCGCAGCCACUUAGAGGGCAACACAUAUCAAAAGGUGUUCAUCAGAGCUCCCUAGGCGGCAGGCCCUCUGGAGGAUCCCCUCCCCCAACCCCACUGAGCUUCUGUGACUAUGACAACUCAACGGAAAUACACAGCUAAACUUUCCCAGGCAAGUACUGAGCAGAGUGCAAAGAGGAAGCGCAGGGAGAGGGGUGAGUGUGCCUGGUGUCAUUUAGGGCUGAGGAUAUGCCUGGGAAUUGGU